UACGGAGGGAGCAAGCGUUACUCGGAAUUAUUGGGCGUAAAGGGCGCGUAGGCGAUCUGACAAGUCUGGUGUGAAAGCCCACAUGUUAACUGUGGAAGUGCAUUAGAAACUGUUGGAUUUGAGUUCAGGAGAGGAAGGCAGAAUUCCCGGUGUAGCGGUGAAAUGCGUAGAGAUCGGGAGGAAUACCAGUGGCGAAGGCGGCCUUCUGGACUGACACUGACGCUGAGGUGCGAAAGCUAGGGGAGCAAACGGG
rnacentral:rRNA from 1 species